rnacentral:tRNA from 1 species
GGCGGCGUAGCCAAGAGGACAAAGGCAACGGUUUGCAAAACCGUCAUCCACGGGUUCGAAUCCCGUCGCCGCCUCCA